rnacentral:rRNA from 1 species
CUCUACGGCCAUACCACCCUGGACGCGCCCGAGCUCGUCUGAUCUUGGAAGCUAAGCAGGGUCGGGCUUGGUUAGUACUUGGAUGGGAGACAGAGUACUGAGCACAGACAUAGCAC